UAUGGACUGUCCCAUUCUUCACUAAUAGGUAAUAGGUGUGUGCAGUGGUCUGUGACCUUAUGUGUAUUGGGGUGUGUAACAGCUGGCAUGUGUAACAUAUGGGAGGAUACCGUAUCCACGUGACGGU